AGUGAACGCUGGCGGUAGGCCUAACACAUGCAAGUCGAACGGCAGCACAGUAAGAGCUUGCUCUUACGGGUGGCGAGUGGCGGACGGGUGAGGAAUACAUCGGAAUCUACUUUUUCGUGGGGGAUAACGUAGGGAAACUUACGCUAAUACCGCAUACGACCUACGGGUGAAAGCAGGGGAUCUUCGGACCUUGCGCGAUUGAAUGAGCCGAUGUCGGAUUAGCUAGUUGGCGGGGUAAAGGCCCACCAAGGCGACGAUCCGUAGCUGGUCUGAGAGGAUGAUCAGCCACACUGGAACUGAGACACGGUCCAGACUCCUACGGGAGGCAGCAGUGGGGAAUAUUGGACAAAGGGCGCAAGCCUGAUCCAGCCAUACCGCGUGGGUGAAGAAGGCCUUCGGGUUGUAAAGCCCUUUUGUUGGGAAAGAAAGGCAGCAGGUUAAUACCCCGCUGUUCUGACGGUACCCAAAGAAUAAGCACCGGCUAACUUCGUG
rnacentral:rRNA from 1 species